rnacentral:rRNA from 1 species
GACGAACGCUGGCGGCGUGCUUAACACAUGCAAGUCGAACGGAAAGGCCCUGCUUUUGUGGGGUGCUCGAGUGGCGAACGGGUGAGUAACACGUGAGUAACCUGCCCUUGACUUUGGGAUAACUUCAGGAAACUGGGGCUAAUACCGGAUAGGAGCUCCUGCUGCAUGGUGGGGGUUGGAAAGUUUCGGCGGUUGGGGAUGGACUCGCGGCUUAUCAGCUUGUUGGUGGGGUAGUGGCUUACCAAGGCUUUGACGGGUAGCCGGCCUGAGAGGGUGACCGGGCACAUUGGGACUGAGAUACGGCCCAGACUCCUACGGGAGGCAGGAGUGGGGAAUAAUGCACAAUGGGCGGAAGCCUGAUGCAGCAACGCCGCGUGCGGGAUGACGGCCUUCGGGUUGUAAACCGCUUUCGCCUGGGACGAAGCGUGAGUGACGGUAAUGGGUAAAGAAGCACCGGCUAACUACGUG